CUAAAUAAUUACCCUUUUUAUUUUAAGGGGUUUUGUGGCAUGCAAAACCUAAUUUAAUGUUAGAGAAUGUAAAAAAAACAAAAAAUAAAUUUAUUACAUGUAAAAAAAAUUAGGGUAGUACAUUGGAAUGGCUGAAACGUGCGAACGUAAAUGGCAAUGAUAAAGAAAAAAUUGUGAGAGUCACAAAAGUAUUCGUGUGUAAAUUCAAUUUACGGUGGCAACCAAAAUAUUUCGAAGUGCAAACACAGUCUAAGCUGUCAAUGCUUUUACAUUAAACUCGCUUGUGUAUUUGAUUAAUUGUUUCACUUACGAUUCGCAAUAAACACGGGUCAUCUCUGCAUUGGUGUUGCUAACCUUUUAAUGUGAUAUGAUCCCUAGGCGUGAUUAAUAUGCUUAAGGUACUUUCACAAGGGCCAAUUUAGUCAAAGCGAAGCAUAAAAUCUAAAAACAAAUCCAACUUUUAUGUAAAUCUGUGCAGCAAUUGGUAGCUUAAAUUUUCAGGAAGGAUGACUAAAAUACGAAAAUGAGUUUCGAGGUCUUUCUUUGUUUUAAUCGGAUGUAUUAAAUGUCCGGUUCGGAAUUUCUUCGAUUCUUUUUUAAUAAAAUUCUGUAUAUUUAGAAAGA